UGAUUAGAAUUAUAGAAAUGUACAGCAUUCACAUAACAAGCAACAUCGGAGUAACAUCAAGGUGUAGCAACGUGUUCCUAAAUCAAUAUUGAAGUCGACAAAAUUUCCAGGACCAGAGUUCGCAAUUAGCUAGAAGCGAAGAGGAUACCUCAUACAACUUUGAUUAUACACCAGAAAUAGAAACCAAAUCCUUUGCAUCGAUGGAGAACGAUUUGGAAAUGAUGGAGUACUUUCGUCGCAUUAUGGAAUGCAUUGUAUGCCGCGAGGUGCCCCAUCCAAAUGAUACAUAUCUGUGUAGUCAUGACCAUGUGCUUUGUGAUUAUUGUGUGACUCGUAUAAUCAUUGAAUCUUCGAUACAUCAUAAUGAGGCGCAGUGUCCCCAGUGUCAUGUCGGAAUUGGAUGGAAUGAACUGCAGAGAGGUUUAACAUUGUAAACAAUAAUGACGCUACCUAUGAUCAUCUAAAUUUAUAUGUUAAGAUUUCAGAUCUUUUUGGACUUGUUCAUUUGAAAUUUAAUCGCAACUCAACUGUACCUCCCGCAAUGAACCAAUUUAAUUAACUGCGUCCCCUACAAAAAAAAAACAAAAAACACGACAUGAAUUUAAUUGCCUAAACAAUUCUAAUCAACAUGAACACACACACAGAAACACAAACACACAAUGAGAACGAAAAUGACCCAAAAAUUUUCGCUGAUUGCAUUUAAUAAUAAAAAUCGAAUAUUACCGACGCACUUGAAGGCCAUCAAAAGCAAAUAGCAAAUUCAUUCGCCACCCCGAAAAAUGGCAAACGAAACCAAAAUCAAAAUCGAAAAUGGAAUCAAAUCGAAACGCACACGAGAGAAUGAUGACGACAAUGGCAACUUAAUUUCUGUCAUAGAAAAAGAGUCGAGCAGCAGGCAGGCAGUAGAAAUUGACAUAUUGACAGCCAGACAAAAGGUCUCUCAACAGCAGCCAAAGGAGAAAGUUGAUGGGGUGGAUAGAGGGCCGAGGAGUAGAAGGAGGUGUGGUUGUGAUAGAACCGCAAUUGCACUGCAGUUUGAUGGCGGCGUCAAAAAUAAACAAACAUUGCGACAGCAAUAAAAUAUCAAGCGACCAAAAAAAAAAAAAAA